GUCUUCCAGCAUUGCGUUUCGUUUCAAUUGUCUGUACUGUGGACUCAAUUAUUUUAGCGGUUAACAAUUUUAGUGGAUCAAGGAAAAAUUGAAGUUUUGUCUGAUAUGUAAUUUCCUGGUUUUGCAAAAAUCUGAACAACAAAUUGAACCUAUUUCAAAGUUGUACUUCGUUGAACAUUUAAAUUCGAGGUUAACCUAUAUUCACGAAAUCUACGCUAAUUGAUAUCCCAUGCACAAAUAACAUUGGUAUUAUUUUUUCUUGAUUCUCGACAUGCUCCUAUAGUUUAACUCUGCACAUGUACUUGUUAAUUACAUAUCUUAUACAUGUACCAGCAUAGUUGUGUUUAUGGCUGAUGUGUUUAAGGCAUUACAGAGCUUUUUAAGGCAUUACAGAGCUUUUUAAGGCAUUACAGAGCUUUUUAAGGCAUUACAGAGCUUUUUAAGGCAUUUUCUAUGGGGUUUAAAGGCAUUAGUUACGGAGCUUUUUAAGGCAUUACCUUUAAGUUUUACCCCAAUACAGAGGGUUUUUAAGAUUUGACAGAGCUUUCACAUACCGGAUAUUACAUAAAUGCAUUUGUUAUUUGUUUACUGGUAACAUUUUAAUUUUUGUGGGUAUCUGUUACAUUUAGCAAAAGUAUUGAGUCACAUUUUCAACUUUUGUUGGUACCAUUCCAUGCUAUACAAAAC
rnacentral:lncRNA from 1 species